CUGACGCUGAGAUGCGAAAGCGUGGGGAGCAAACAGGGAUUAGAUACCCUGGUAGUCCACGCUGUAAACGAUGUCGAUUUGGAGUUUGGUGGCAUGACUGCUGGGCUCCGAAGCUAACGCGUUAAAUCGACCGCCUGGGGAGUACGGCCGCAAGGUUAAAACUCAAAUGAAUUGACGGGGGCCCGCACAAGCGGUGGAGCAUGUGGUUUAAUUCGAUGCAACGCGAAGAACCUUACCUGGUCUUGACAUCCACAGAAUUUUGUAGAGAUACGAAAGUGCCUUAGGGAGCUGUGAGACAGGUGCUGCAUGGCUGUCGUCAGCUCGUAUUGUGAAAUGUUGGGUUAAGUCCCGCAACGAGCGCAACCCUUAUCCUUUGUUGCCAUCGGUUAGGCCGGGAACUCAAAGGAGACUGCCGUUGAUAAAGCGGAGGAAGGUGGGGACGACGUCAAGUCAUCAUGGCCCUUACGACCAGGGCUACACACGUGCUACAAUGGCGCAUACAAAGAGAAGCAAACCAGCGAUGGCAAGCGGACCUCAUAAAGUGCGUCUAAGUUCGGAUUGGAGUCUGCAACUCGACUCCAUGAAGUCGGAAUCGCUAGUAAUCGUGAAUCAGAAUGUCANCGNUGAAUACGUUCCCGGGCCUUGUAC
rnacentral:rRNA from 1 species